rnacentral:lncRNA from 1 species
UUAAAAGCUUCAUGGUCAUAAGCUCUUGCAGCAUCAAUAUCACUCUCAAAAGUGCCUAGCCAAAUCCUUGAUCCUUUCUUUGCCGGAUCUCGAAUCUCUGCUGCGAAUUUUCCCCAUGGCCUCCUUCUCACGCCUCUGUAAUGCCUUGUCUCUUCAGCUCUCUUUGAUCUUUUCCGGUUUGAGACAGUUUCAACCUCAGGUGAUGUUGUAGUUGUUGUUGUUGUUGAUGAUGAUGAUUCUGCUUCCAUUUGCAGAAACUCUUGGACAUAGGAAUCUGGAUCAAGAACCGGUGAACUAGGCUCCUGUUUAGGAACUUGGUUUAAGGGUUCUAGAGACCAGAGUCCUGAGAAAAAAGCAGCGUCAUCAAAGACAAAAUCUUCCAUGAAACCAUCA